rnacentral:rRNA from 1 species
GAUGAACGCUAGCGGGAGGCCUAACACAUGCCAGCCGAGCGGUAUGGGUAGCUUGCUACCCAGAGAGCGGCGUACGGGUGCGUAACACGUGUGCAACCUGCCCCUAUCCGGGGGAUAGCCCUCCGAAAGGAGGAUUAAUACCCCAUAAUAUAUCUGGUGGCAUCACUAGAUAUUGAAAACCCCGGUGGAUAGGGAUGGGCACGCGCAAGAUUAGAUAGUUGGCGGGGUAACGGCCCACCAAGUCGAUGAUCUUUAGGGGUCCUGAGAGGGAGAUCCCCCACACUGGUACUGAGACACGGACCAGACUCCUACGGGAGGCAGCAGUGAGGAAUAUUGGACAAUGGGUGGAAGCCUGAUCCAGCCAUCCCGCGUGAGGGACGACGGCCCUAUGGGUUGUAAACCUCUUUUGUACGGGGAUAAACCUAUCUACGUGUAGAUAGCUGAAGGUACCGUACGAAUAAGCACCGGCUAACUCCGUG